rnacentral:rRNA from 1 species
AUUCCAGCUCCAAUAGCGUAUAUUAAAGUUGUUGCAGUUAAAAAGCUCGUAGUUGGACUUCUGAUGUGGGACUGCGCCCCGGUAUUUUGCCGUUGGGUGCGGGCUCGCGUCUUCCUCUCGUAGUUGGAUGGUGCACUUAACUGGGUGCCUUCUGAAUAUGGGACCUUUACUUUGAAAAAAUUAGAGUGUUCAAAGCAGGCAAUCGCUUGAAUACAUUAGCAUGGAAUAAUAGAAUAGGACUUUGGUUCUAUUUUGUUGGUUUCUAGGACCGAGGUAAUGAUUAAUAGGGACAGUUGGGGGCAUUAGUAUUUAAUUGUCAGAGGUGAAAUUCUUGGAUUUAUGAAAGACUAACUACUGCGAAAGCAUUUGCCAAGGAUGUUUUCAUUA